rnacentral:rRNA from 1 species
AUUGAACGCUGGCGGCAGGCCUAACACAUGCAAGUCGAACGAGUGGCGGACGGGUGAGUAAUGUCUGGGAAACUGCCUGAUGGAGGGGGAUAACUACUGGAAACGGUAGCUAAUACCGCAUACCAUCAGAUGUGCCCCGAUGGGAUGAGCUAGUUGGUGGGGUAACGGCUCACCUAGGCGACGAUCCCUAGCUGGUCUGAGAGGAUGCCAAGCCACCCUGGAGCGGAGACACGGACCAGACGCCUGCGGGAGGCAGCAGUGGGGAAUAUUGCACAAUGGGCGCAAGCCUGAUGCAGCCAUGCCGCGUGUAUUAAGAAGGCCUUCGGGUUGUAAAGUACUUUCAGCGGGGAGGCGUUACCCGCAGAAGAAGCACCGGCUAACUCCGUGCCAGCAGCCGCGGUAAUUC